AUACGUAGGGUGCGAGCGUUAAUCGGAAUUACUGGGCGUAAAGCGUGCGCAGGCGGUUUUGUAAGACAGUGGUGAAAUCCCCGGGCUCAACCUGGGAACUACCAUUGUGACUGCAAGGCUGGAGUGCGGCAGAGGGGGAUGGAAUUCCGCGUGUAGCAGUGAAAUGCGUAGAUAUGCGGAGGAACACCGAUGGCGAAGGCAAUCCCCUGGGCCUGCACUGACGCUCAUGCACGAAAGCGUGGGGAGCAAACAGGAUUAGAUACCCUGGUAGUCCACGCCCUAAACGAUGUCAACUGGUUGUUGGGGAUUUAUUUUCUCAGUAACGAAGCUAACGCGUGAAGUUGACCGCCUGGGGAGUACGGCCGCAAGGUUAAAACUCAAAGGAAUUGACGGGG
rnacentral:rRNA from 1 species